rnacentral:lncRNA from 1 species
CGCCCCCCAAUCAGAAGAUCAUAGAAUUUAAAACUGGAAGAAAUCCUAGUGAUCCUCUUAAAUCUAAAUAACUUAUUUUACAGAUGGGUAACCUGGGUCCUAAAGAGGGCAAGUGACUUAGCUGAGGUCAUACAACUAGGCAUUAGCAGAGCUGGGAUUCAAAUGAAGAUUAUCCAACUGGAGAAAUGAUUAUUUUUCACAUGUGAAUUUUAGUAUGUUCCCUCCCAACUUGGAAACAUCACUUUGGAGAAAUCAAAUGGAAUAGCCUUCAGAGUCCUGUCCAGUUGGAAGAGUAGAAGUGGAACUUUAGACUCCAAAUUCAGUAUUCAUUCAACUAUGCCAUAUUACCUACCUGUGGACACAAACACUGAAAGAGAAGCUAAAAUGUUGAUGGAAAUGGUUCAAUUUCAAAUGAUUGACUCACUUAGAGCCUGCUUCUCUGAAUUCCUAGUUCAUCAACAAAUGGUAAGGUUUCCUUCAACAGUACUGUUUCCUCCUGGUAAAUUUACAUUUCAUGAGCUGGCUUUGAAAAGAAACCAAUGGUUGCAUUAGGGGAUAUAUUA